rnacentral:rRNA from 1 species
GACGAACGCUGGCGGCGUGCUUAACACAUGCAAGUCGAACGGUAAGGCCCCUUCGGGGGUACACGAGUGGCGAACGGGUGAGUAACACGUGAGCAACCUGCCCUUGACUCUGGAAUAACAGUUGGAAACAGCUGCUAAUACCGGAUAUGACCUCGAUCGACAUCGAUCUUGGUGGAAAGCUCCGGCGGUCAAGGAUGGGCUCGCGGCCUAUCAGCUUGUUGGUGAGGUAACGGCUCACCAAGGCUUCGACGGGUAGCCGGCCUGAGAGGGCGACCGGCCACACUGGGACUGAGAUACGGCCCAGACUCCUACGGGAGGCAGCAGUGGGGAAUAUUGCACAAUGGGCGCAAGCCUGAUGCAGCAACGCCGCGUGCGGGAUGACGGCCUUCGGGUUGUAAACCGCUUUCAGUAGGGACGAAGCUAACGUGACGGUACCUACAGAAGAAGGACCGGCUAACUACGUGCCAGCCGCCGCAGUAA